CCUACACCACAGCUUGCAGCAAUGCCAGUUCCUUAACCCACUGAGCAAGGCUGGGGAUCAAACCCACAUCCUCAUGGAUUCUAGUCGGGCUCGUAUCUUUUCAUUUCUUGACAAUGCCUUUGAUUAGCAGAAGUUUUAAAUUAUACUUCAGUUUAAUUGCUUAAUGUUUUUAUGGUUAGUGCUUUUUGUGCCUUGUCUAAAAUGUCACUGCUUAUCUUAAGGUCAUGAAGAAACGCCUAUGUUUUCUUAUUUUAGAAGUUUUACAGUUUAACUUCAAAUUUUGGUCAAUGAUGUAUCUCAAAUUAAUUUUUAUAUGUGAUGAUAAAAGAAAGGCCCCUUUCCCCCAGCCCCAAUUCUACCUCCAAGGGAACCAGAAUCAACUGUUCUAGUGCAAUUGUGGACACGCUAGGCCCUGUCUUAUGGAAGAAGAAAUACAUCCAGAAGCAUCACUGAAGCAUGUAUGACCCUCUUCAGGGGGGGUGGUCACCGACUCUCGGGUCUUAAUCUAUCAUCGCUUUCCUGAAUAUGCCAGAUCAUCCAGUGCACUCGAUUUUCAACCCCACAUAAUUCUUUAUGCGCUUCCUUAUUUCUGGAAGCGCCAAUCCUCUUUCUUUAUCUGCCAGUGUCUUAGCUCAAGUGCUGUGUAUCUCCCAACUCAAAUGGUUUUUCUUUCAUGAAGCCAGUACUGGCUUAUUUUUUUACAACCCUGACUUUUCAUAUGCAUCUUGCAAAUUAUUUAAAGUAGGAUUGUGUCUUUUUCACUUUAAAACCACCUAGAGGAACUAUUCUAGCGAGUCAUUCACAGUAAUACCUAAGAAAGGAUGCCCGAAUUGAAUUUUGUUUUGGCUUAAGGAUUCGGAAAGGUAUUUUGUUACUGGAACCUUCUCUUUACAUCCUCUCUUGUCUCAGAUAACAUGCUCCUUGAUAUUAAAUAAUCCAUAGCAGGCUGCAAGCAGUUAUCUAAGCAAAAGACAUUCUGGAAAAAGCUCCUUUUUAGUGAGCAAACCCGGACUCUUCAGAAUCCCAGCCCAACAGUUCAGUUUAGACACAGUUAAAGUUUUAUGCAAUAUUUACAUUAACUGUUGCAUUGUUGAUGAACAGUACUGGAAUUUUUGAUGCAAUAUCAGUUAAAAUAUAAAUUUUUCUAUAUACAGCAAAAGAAAAAAAAUGCUGAGUUUAAGAUAUAUGCUGUAGUUAGAAUAUAUCUUCAUUAAAGGGUUUGGUGCUGAUGUCCUGUAAUCUCAGGCUCUCACUUUGGCUUUACUUGUAAAAUCUUCCCAAUGAAGAAAUCCAACAUAAGCUAAGGUUUUAUGUUUCCUUAUUUUAUUGAGCAACUUUAUUUUCCAAGGUCAUCGCAUUAGCAAAGAACUUAAUUAGUUAAAGAAAUCUAGUCCUGCAUCCUAAGGUCUUGGGGACAUGCAAUACAAUUAACCGUGGUUCACUGAAGAAUGGAAAAGAAAUUCUUUGGAAGGGUACAAGGCCUCUCAUAGAAUCAAUGAGACUGUUAGAGGACCAGGCCUCAGAAAGGUUGGGAACAAAGUAUUGAGGGAAUGGGAACUGAUGGAGUGAUUAUCCGGGCAAAACCAUCCAUAAGAUGUAUCAGCUCUAACCCAUUUCUGCCUUUGUCUCACCCACCUGCAGAUUAAAUGCCCUGGACAGAAAGAGACAUGGGCCAGCUGGUGUAGAGCUCCUGCCUUGGCCUCGCAGAGGGAAGGGAAGGUCUCUGUGAUGGGCUGGGUGGUAAAGUAUGUUGAGAGGGCUUAUCCCUGGAAGAGGGUCUGGGCACCAGAAGAAUGGGGUGGGGAGGAGGUGAUGGGUAGUCAAAACCAGCGGGUGGAGAGUAUGGGCUUUUAACCCCAGGACUUGCUCCAGCACAGCCCCCACGCUAAGUGAUUGCACACAAUCAUCAGAAACAGGUGUUUUCCUGAUCAUAAAGGGGAUUUUGAAACUCGUAAUCAAUAGUGACGUGCACUUUUGUUGGCACAUAUUUGACUGUAGCUUCCUUAGAUGAAUGGACUUAUCUCUGCUCAUCUAAGUUUCCCACAAAAUAAAAAUACCGCUGAACGCAAGCAGUGAUGUGUGCCUCCACCUUCACUCAGUGGAAAUG
rnacentral:lncRNA from 9 species